GUAAGAAUCCUUGUCGCCGUAAACCCAAGGUUUCCUGGGCCAGGUUCGUCCUCCCAGGGUUAGCCGGGAGCUAACAUGAGGCCGUAAGGCGUAAUGGAUGCACAGCAGGUUAAUAUUACUGCGCUAGCAUGGGUUAAGGCUGUGAGUGACGCAGAGAGAAAAGUGACUAGACAAUCGAAUGUCGAGCUUAGGUUUCGGCCGAAGCGCAUCACCAGACAAUCUGUCGAGAAAAGCUUGCAGCUGUUCCCCAUGGUACCCGUACCGUAAACCGACACAGGUGGGUGAGUGUAAGUGCACUAAGGCGCGCGAGAGAAACCUCUCUAAGGAACUCUGCAAAUUAGCCCCGUAACUUCGGGAGAAGGGGUGCCCAUUUCGAUGGGUCUCAGUAAAUUGCGUUUAGCGACUGUUUAACAAAAACACAGCACUCUGCCAAGUUGUGAAGACGACGUAUAGGGUGUGACAAGUGACCAAUGCGGAAAGAUCAAGGUGCUUUGUUAGCCGCAAGGCGAAGCUCGGUGCCUAAGUCCCCGUGAAUGUCGGCCGUAACUAUAACGGUCCUAAGGUAGCGAAAUUCCUUGUCGGGUAAGUUCCGACCUGCACGAAUCUUGUAACGACUGAACGACUGUCUCGGAGAGGAUCUCGGCGAAACUGUAACGGCGGUGAAGAUGCCGCCUGCCCGCAGUAGGACGGAAAGACCCUAUGCACCUUUACUGUAAGCUCGUAUUGUGUUCUGAUUAAUGAUGCGUAGCGUAGGUGGGAGACUUUGAAAUGAGGGCUUCGGUUCUCAUGGAGUCGCAAUGUGAAACACCACUCUUCGUUAAUUAGAAUUCUAACCUCAACCCUGUGAAGCCAGGUGGGGGACAGUGCGUGCGGGUCAGUUUGACUGGGGCGGUUUCCUCCCAAACGGUAACGGAGGAGCGCGAAGCUUGGCUCAGCAUGGUUUGCAACCAUGCGUCGAGCGUAUGGGUAUAAGCCAGGUUAACUGUAAGACCAACAAGUCGAGCAGAUGCGAAAGCAGGCCCAAAUGAUCCGACGGUAGAAUGUGGAAUUGCCGUCGCUCAACGGACAAAAGGUACGCUAGGGAUAACAGGCUGAUCGGAUCCAAGAGUUCACAUCGACGAUCCGGUUUGGCACCUCGAUGUCGGCUCAUCGCAUCCUGGGGCUGGAGAAGGUCCCAAGGGUCCGGCUGUUCGCCGGUUAAAGCGGUACGCGAGCUGGGUUCAGAACGUCGUGAGACAGUUCGGUCCUUAUCCACUGUGGGCGCAGGAAAUUUGAGGGGUUCUAAUCCUAGUACGAGAGGACCGGAUUAGACGCACUUCUGGUGUGGCAAUUGUUCCGUCAGGGGCAUCGUUGCGUAGCCAUGUGCGGAAGAGAUAAGCGCUGAAAGCAUCUAAGUGCCAAGCUCCUCCCAAGAUAUGAUUUCCCGGACGCAAGUCCCUAAAGACCCCCGGAAGACUACCGGGUUGAUAGGUUAGGCGUGUAAGCAGAGUAAUCUGUUCAGCGGACUAAUACUAAUCGGUCGUGCGGCUUGAUCGC
rnacentral:rRNA from 1 species